UCGGCAAUGGGGGCAACCCUGACCGAGCGACGCCGCGUGCGGGAUGAAGGCCUUCGGGUUGUAAACCGCUGUCGUAGAGGAGGAAAUGCAGGGGGGUUCUCCCCUUUGUUUGACCUAUUCUAGGAGGAAGUACGGGCUAAGUUCGUGCCAGCAGCCGCGGUAAGACGAACCGUACAAACGUUACUCGGAAUUACUGGGCUUAAAGGGUGCGUAGGCUGCGCAGAAAGUUGGGUGUGAAAGCCCUCGGCUCAACCGGGGAAUUGCAUUCAAAACUACUGUGCUCGAGGGAGACAGAGGUAAGCGGAACUCAAGGUGGAGCGGUGAAAUGCGUUGAUAUCUUGAGGAACACCGGUGGCGAAGGCGGCUUACUGGGUCUCUUCUGACGCUGAGGCACGAAAGCUAAGGUAGCAAACGGGAUUAGAUACCCCGGUAGUCUUAGCUGUAAACGAUGAGCACUUGAUUGGAGGGUCCUCCAUAGCCUUCCAGUCGUAGCGAAAGUGUUAAGUGCUCCGCCUGGGGAGUAUGGUCGCAAGGCUGAAACUCAAAGAA
rnacentral:rRNA from 1 species